GAUGAAGAACGUAGCGAAAUGCGAUAAGUAAUGUGAAUUGCAGAAUUCAGUGAAUCAUCGAAUCUUUGAACGCACCUUGCACCCUUUGGACUGCUCCAAAGGGUAUGCUCGUUUGAGUGUCAUUGUACUCUCACACUCUCUGAUCCUUUGGAUUUGGGGAGCAGUGGACUUGGGUGCUUGCUGCUUCCUUGUGGCUCACCUGAAAUGCAUCAGUGCAUCUCUCGAUUGGACAUAGUACGGCGUGAUAAGUGUCUUCGCCGGCACCUCAUAUGAGGGUGGCCGAUCGGGAGCUCUGUGCUUUCAAACCGUCUUCGGACAACGCUGUCAACUUGAACUCAAAUCGAGUAGGACUACCCGCUGAACUUAAGCAUAUCAAUAAGCGGAGGA
rnacentral:misc_RNA from 1 species